GUCUAGGUGGGGGAAAACACAUCUAGUUUUCGAAAAAUUGUCAACUUUUUUUAUAGGUAUACAUUUGAGGGGAUGAAAUAAGUACCUAUAAAUUUUGGUCAAAAAAUAUGUCCAUUUGUGGGCUGUGCACUUACGGGCUCUAUUUUAGACCAUCCUCUCCCUUUUUUCUGUAUAUCCCACAAAAGGGCAUAUUUGUGGGCCAGAAGUUGGAAGUCUUGAACAUUCACAGUUUAUCAGACAAUGUACAUGUAAAACUAAUUCAAAAUAUCAAUGUGCAUGCUUUUCUAUUUAAAAAAAAGGGGGGCACAUGGGUAAAUGAAUUAGUUUGUGCAAUGUUAUUGAUAGCUUUGAAACUGGAAGCAGCUAGCAUCAAGGGAAAGCCCCAAGACCUUUGAUAUUCUUAGUUGUCUGGAAGCAGCUAGCAUCAAGGGAACAAACUAAAGCCCAAAAACUUUUAUACUGUUAACUUGCCAAUUAAGACCGGAAGUAGCUAGCAACAAAGGAACAAGUAAACCCCCAAAACUUUGAUAUUCUUAGCAUGCCAAUGGAGACUGGAAGCAACUAGCAUUAGCUUGCCAAUUAUGUUUGGAUUAGUUAUGGCUAAAUGCUACCCUACCAAUUUUUUGGUCAUGGCAAACUUUGAUCCUUGUAUGGAUGGUUGCCAAAAAAAUUGGCAUGCACAUGCCCCUUUGACUAUUCUAGUUCAUUUUUCUAGUUAUUGGUCAAAUCAUGAGCAAGUAAAACCUUGACUAAAAUAGCUAGCCACUUUUUUAGUACGGUAAACUUGAGUUCAAACCAAACACACCAUAAAUCCCAGAAAACCCACGGCCACGGCACGCAACCUGAUAUCAGCUCUGGAAUUAGCAGCAAGCAAGUUUAUACUAGGAUAUGCUUAAUUGAAGUGAAGCAAGGCAAAGCGAAGGAUCUGUCAUAGAAAUUUACAAGUCCUGGGUCUACCCUCCUUUUUGAAAAAAUAAAUAAAUUUGCAAGUCUUAUCCGAACAUUUUACGUGCUUAACCAAAGCAAAGGAUCAGUAAUAGAAGCUUGCAAGUCUUAUCAGAGCAUAUUACCUUCCUUCAUUUGGAGGAUUCAUAAAAUAUAUUCACCCAUUAACUAUUCUUGCUUGCAUAUAUUUGCAGCAUGGAUCGUUGCUGCUGCUACCGCAGUUUCCAUACACACUGUAUUCUCAUAUAAACUGGACUACCCUUCUCUGAGGCUGAGAGACUCAGUAUAUCUAAGAUGUCGUCAUGUUCUACCUCCGCUAUCAUCGCCAGAGCGGUGAGCGGGCACCACUUCCUCAAGAUCGACGGGUACUCGCAAACGAAGGUGGUCACCGUUGCAAGCUGCAUCCAAAUCCUGCACUUUUGACAUCGGAGGCCAUAGCUGGCGUAUCAAGUAUUACCCCAGUGGCUACAACUCAGGUGCUACCAGUUAUGUAUGUGUCUUCAUUCAGCUUGUCAGUGUCAGCAGGGACUUGCCGGUGGUGCCUGACAAGAGCAUCUCAGCUCAAGGAUCGCUCGGUUUACUGGACCGGACUGGGAAACCAGUGCCGUCAGAUACGUACACCUUCAGCAGGCGUUUCACGACCAGCGAAGAGGGCUGGUACAAAUUCUUCACAAGGUCGACGCUAGAGAGCUACCUCAAGGACGACUGCUUCACUCUCAGGUGCGACAUCACCGUCACGGAACUGCACGCCAAGGAACCAAAGGAUUGUGAUUUCGCUGAUCUCCUUUGGAAGGAGGGGGGAGAUGUGGCCUUCGAAGUGGGCAGUGAGAGACUCACCGCCCAUCGACGGGUGCUGGCUGCCAGAUCUCCAAUCUUGAAGGCAGCAGUGGAAGCAGAGCUCAUUGGCGUGCCAGAAAGGGAGAAGACACCCAUGGCCACCGUAAGGAUCGACGACAUGGAGGCAAAAGUGUUCAAGGCUUUGCUCCACUACAUAUACACCGACGCAUUGCCUGAUGAAAUGGACAAGGGAGAUGAGGCGGCAAGGGAGAUGAGGUGGCAACAGCAAUGGCGCACCGAUUGCUUGAAGCGGCGGAUAGGUACAAGGUGGAGAGGCUGAAGCUGAUCUGCGAGGACAUGCUGUGCAAACGUGUCUCCACGAGCAUGGUGAUAACCACACUGGUGUUAGCAGAGCAGCACCACUGCCAGAAACUCAAGGCAGUGUGCAUCAAGUUCCUCAUCUCUCCGAAGAAUAUGGAAGUCAUCUUGGAAAAUGGCGGUUUCAAACAGUUACAGAGGAGCUGCCCCUCUGUUCUCAUGGACCUAAUACAAAGGGCAAAAGUGGCCUGAGAGAAGCAAGGAUACAGUCGGUUCUUCUAUUGUAAAUGCAGUAUUGGACGAUGUAAGAAUGGAAGUAGUGUGCUUCAGUGGUGUUAAACAACUACUGAUAAUCAACUAUGUGCCAUACUAAUGUACUUUCAUAAUAUUUGGAAUUGUAGCUGCACAUGUUUGCUAUACAACAAUAAUGCUUAUAAUUGUUGAUUUCUUUAAAUGCUAUACAACUAUACAAUUAUAGUUAUAUACCGCCCCCUAGAGGCUGCGUUCCCGCAGUUAUGCUUCGUGGUCAUGCUACUAGCUUGGUCAUGGUUGAGCACCAGCUCAACCAUGAAGCCGGCACCAGAGGCUUGUCUUGGAUACUUCAGCUCUUCAAGUAAAUAGUAAUCCUUAAGAUCACGACAUGAUAAAAAAUGUAUACAUAGCAGGCUUGAAGAUGAUCUCACAAAAAGCAAUAAGCAGUUUUUCAAUUUACGACAAAAGUAACAAAAGUUAAGUAGCUAAACCUUUAAUAUUGUACAUAUUGAAUUACAAUAAUGUACGAGAGUGCGGUGACUGUACUAUUAGCUUGACCUCAUCAAGCUGGUCUCACAAA